rnacentral:rRNA from 1 species
AAUGAACGCUGGCGGCGUGCCUUACACAUGCAAGUCGGAUGUGUCGCAAGACACAUGGCAGACGGGUGAGUAACACGUGGGAAACUUACCUUUUAGUGGGGAAUAACGCUCCGAAAGGAGCGGUAAUACCGCAUAAGACCUAUCGCUGGGAUGCGAUAGAUGAAAGCUGGGGAUCGUAAGACCUAGCGCUGAGAGAGAGUCCUGCGUUUGAUUAGUUAGUUGGUGAGGUAACGGCUCACCAAGACUUCGAUCAGUAGCCGGCCUGAGAGGGCGAUUGGCCCCACUGGAACUGAGACACGGUCCAGACUCCUACGGGAGGCAGCAGUGGGGAAUCUUGCGCAAUGGGCGAAAGCCUGACGCAGCAACGCCGCGUGGGUGAAGAAGGUUUUCGGAUUGUAAAACCCCGUCGUUAGGGACGAAGACAUAAAUCCUAAUACGAUUUAUGUUUCUCUGUAAGGGGAAAAGAAACCCCCGCUAACUCUGU